rnacentral:lncRNA from 1 species
CCGCACUGGCCGCGUCAGCAUUAUCUACACAGACGCUGAACAGAUUGCCCAGUCAACACUGCGGGGCCGCCAUCCUUGAAACGUUUAAAGACGCGGGAUCGAAAGUUCAUGACAACUCUAAGCUGAUCGGCGGCACUUUUGUUGCUGGAGCAGCUUUUUCAGCAACCUCUGCCGGUGCCUAUCUUUUGUGGAAAAAGGUCAUUCAACCGUACGCUAUUCCCGCCUGUCAGAAAUGGCGGGAUCGGUCACGUAACAGUGGUCCCGCUGGCUAUAUUCCGGUAGGGGUCGGCUCUGAAUCGUCAGACGAUGGCGUGGAUGACGUCGAUUACGAUGGUGAUGAUGAAAAUGAGAAGGAAGAGAGAAGUGGAUGCUGUAUCUUGUGAGGGGAAAAAGUGAAACUGAUUUUUGUGGAACAG